GUAACACGUAAAGAACCUGCCCUCAGGUCUGGGAUAACCACGAGAAAUCGGGGCUAAUACCGGAUGGGUCAUCGGACCGCAUGGUCCGAGGAUGAAAGGCGCUUCGGCGUCGCCUGGGGAUGGCUUUGCGGUGCAUUAGCUAGUUGGUGGGGUAAUGGCCCACCAAGGCGACGAUGCAUAGCCGACCUGAGAGGGUGAUCGGCCACACUGGGACUGAGACACGGCCCAGACUCCUACGGGAGGCAGCAGUAGGGAAUCUUCCACAAUGGACGAAAGUCUGAUGGAGCAACGCCGCGUGAACGAUGAAGGCCUUCGGGUCGUAAAGUUCUGUUGUAAGGGAAGAACAAGUGCCGCAGGCAAUGGCGGCACCUUGACGGUACCUUGCGAGAAAGCCACGGCUAACUACGUGCCAGCAGCCGCGGUAAUACGUAGGUGGCAAGCGUUGUCCGGAAUUAUUGGGCGUAAAGCGCGCGCAGGCGGCCUCUUAAGUCUGAUGUGAAAGCCCCCGGCUCAACCGGGGAGGGCCAUUGGAAACUGGGAGGCUUGAGUAUAGGAGAGAAGAGUGGAAUUCCACGUGUAGCGGUGAAAUGCGUAGAGAUGUAGAGGAACACCAGUGGCGAAGGCGACUCUUUGGCCUAUAACUGACGCUGAGGCG
rnacentral:rRNA from 1 species